rnacentral:lncRNA from 1 species
UGAUGACUGACGCAGCUGCUGGGGGAUGCGGUGGUUGAGCUGGGGGCGGGGAGCGACCUGUGGGAGUCCAGAGAGCAGGGUCGCAGAGUGUGGCGGUGGAGCCGGCUACCGUGAGCCUGGGGCUGAUUCCUGGGUCAGGCCAAGUCCUUCAUGCUGCUGAUUUUCUGACAAAACGCAGCUGAGUUCCGCCCGUCAGCUCUACUCAAAGGCUCCUCAUGCUCACCCGAAUCCUGAGGAAAUCCAGACGACAUGGCCGCUGACGUGAAUUUCUGUCAGAAGUCCCAGAGACUGGGAACAGAGGAGCAGGAUGGGUCAUGUGAGAGGUUGGUGUCCUUUGAGGAUGUGACUGUGGACUUCAGCCAGGAGGAGUGGCAGCACCUGGACUCUGCCCAGAGAUGCCUGUACCAGGAGGUGAUGCUGGAGAUCUACAGCCACCUCUUGGCAGUGGGCUAUCCCAGGCCAGAGGCCAUCCUCCAGAUGAAGAACAGAAAGGACACACGACUGGGGCAGGUUGAUUUCCUACAUCAGAGGUGUGGUCAAGGGCAGUCAGAGCAUGACUCGCCACAGCAGAUUUGUGUGACCACCGCAUUUCCAAGGGACGCAUCAAGAGUAAUCACUAGAGGUGGUUCUUACUGUUCCAUUAUGGAGGAACCGUGGCAGGGUGGUGACCCUAAAAAGACAGAUCAGCAAAACCAGAUCCCACCCUCGAGUCCUGGUGCUUUCUUCAGCCAGAAAGCAGUAAUCA